UUUUGCAGAAUUCUAUAUUGAAAUCAUGAAUCUGGUGGAAUGAAGUACAUUAAAAAUAGGGAUGUGAAUAAGGGUGAUUGAAGUAUACUGAAAUAGAGAUGUGAAUAAGGGUGGUUGAAGUAUACUGAAAUAGGGAUGUGAAUAAGGGUGGUUGAAGUACACUAAGAAUGGGGAUGUGAAUAAGGGUGGUUGAAGUAUACUAAAAUAGGGAUGUGAAUAAGGGUGGUUGAAGUACACUAAAAAUAGGGGUGUGAAUAAGGUGGUUGAAAUACACUAAAAAUAGGAGUGUGAAUAAGGGUGGUUGAAGUACACUAAAAAUGGGAUGUGAAUAAGGUGGUUGAAGUACACUAAAAAUAGGAGUGUGAAUAAGGGUGGUUGAAGUACACUAAAAAUGGGAUGUGAAUAAGGGUGGUUGAAGUACACUAAAAAUAGGGGUGUGAAUAAGGGUGGUUGAAGUACACUAAAAUAGGGAUGUGAAUAAGGGUGGUUGAAGUACACUAAAAAAGGGGAUGUGAAUAAGGGUGAUUGAACUAUAUUUAAAUAGGGAUGUGAAUAAGGGUGGUUGAAGUAUACUAAGAAUGGGGAUGUGAAUAAGGGUGGUUGAAGUAUACUAAAAUAGGGAUGUGAAUAAGGGUGGUUGAAGUACACUAAAAAUGGGAUGUGAAUAAGGGUGGUUGAAGUAUAUUUAAAUAGGGAUGUGAAUAAGGGUGGUUGAAGUAUAUUUAAAUAGGGAUGUGAAUAAGGGUGGUUGAAGUACACUAAAAAUAGGGAUGUGUAUAGGCUGUUUGAAGUAUACUAAAAAUAGGGACGUGAAUCACAAGGGUCAAAGCAUUUUUAAGUUGGACAGGACAUGAAUAAAGAGGAUUGAAGAGUCUGGAACAGGACUCUACCUUAAUAAAAAUGUUUGUCAAAUUAUAUUUGGUUUCCUUUGUUGUCUACUGUA